rnacentral:lncRNA from 1 species
UAAAAAAAAAAAAACUCUAAAAAGCUAAAUCAAACAAAGGAGAAAGCCAAAUCUACACUUCAAAUUGAUAAAAGAAUUUUUUUUCUCUUUUCUCGAAAAUCUCAAACAGCGGUUUAUGAAAAACCGCAUUUUUUAGCUGCUAACAAUUUUUCCCUUCUUUUCCUCAAAAAAGCUUUUUUCGAAAACUUCGUACUACACGGUCCUCAAGGUGAGAAAAGAAGAGAAACAAACGAGAAACACGGGCGCGUAGAGUGGGGGAGCAGGAGGGGAAAAUGGAACAGAGGAGUGACAGUGUGUCUUCGGUUUAAAUAUUCAGGGAAAACGGGACGGUGAAACGCGACGGUGAGUAGAUAAAUCAAAAAGAGAGCACACAGGAAGUCGUAGUAAAUAACGGGGCGACGAAGCGCGGAAAAGAAAAAUGCGCCGCGUGGAAUGGGGCCGUGGUCGUUGAAAGAAACAGACACACGUGAAAAUAUCAGGCCGUUGCUAUUGUACACGGCGCAUAAUUAAGUUUCAAGGAAAAGUCUUAACCCUUUGCCUGGCGAGGGAUCUGCUUCGUAAUCGGCCAAUUCGAAGUCGCGUGCUCGAGCUUUUUUAACAGAGAUAUACGUAUUAAGUAAAUGUAUAUGGUAUAUAGUCAAUGUAUAUGCUAGAGAAUUAUCCGUACCAACUGGGGAGUGAUCUCUUUCAAAUUAAACGAGGUAAUGUUAUAUCUAUAUAUAAAGUAAUCUACGUAAUAAUAUAGCGAGAUCAUAAAAUCAGACAAGAGAAUGGUCGGAAAUCUGAAGAAAAUUCGAAACCACAAUCAGUCAUGAGUUAGUCUAGCAAGAAGAAAUCUUUGAAAGAAAAUUUCAAAAAGUGUGAAUAACAAUCAAGUAAUUGUCUAAAGUAACAGGGAGGAAGGGACUAUUAAUGAUAGCUAUUAGAUGGAUGUUCUCUCUCUGAAAAAUACAACAAAGAGAAAAAGAUGGAAGGAACAGAAAAGAAAAGAGGAGGGGAGGAGCGCAUAGAGAAGAAAAAGAUUGAGCGAGCAAAAGAGAGAGUUAAAAAUUUCGAGUGUAUGUAGAACAGCUUCGAAUAUACAGAUCGCUGGAAAAUCGAAGACGCAGGGAAUGGAUUCAAAUACCCGUGAAAAGUAUCAUUCAUGUGGGCCAUCCAUCUUUUCUCGAACCUCUCAGCUUAACCUAGAGAGAUGCUUAACCUAUCAUAGUAUGCAAGUAGUACUUGGUUGCAGCCAAGUGUUCCUUUGCUGCCUGGAAUCCAUCGUUUUUUAAAUAUGAUUAUAUAAAUAUGUAUACUAAAAGUUUUUAUGGUAUAGCGAGAUCGUAAAUUAUUAUAGCCAACGGUAUCGAUAUUGUUAAAGUCGUGUGUAUUUUUUAACUUUUUCGAAUAGGAAUAUUUUUUAGAAU